AUGGUUAAGCUAAGAAGAGCGUAGGGAGAAUGCCUUGGCAUUAGGAGCCGAUGAAGGACGUGAUAAGCUGCGAUAAGCUGCGGGGAUCAGCAAGUAUGAAUUGAUCCGCAGAUUUCCGAAUGGAGCAAUCCGUAUGUGUAUGCACAUACAUCAUAUACUGAAUCAAAUAGGUAUAUGAGGGGAACCGCCUGAACUGAAACAUCUAAGUAGGGCGAGGAAGAGAAAUCAACCGAGAUUCUGUGAGUAGUGGCGAGCGAAAGCGGAAGAGGCUAAACCAUAGGUAGCAAUACUUAUGGGGUUUCGGACAGCAUUUAGUAUUGAUAAUUUCUAGUUGAAACGUGUGGGAAAACGUACCGAAGAGUGUGAGAGUCACGUAAGCGAAAGAGAGAAUCAGCGAGCUGUAUCCAAAGUACCGCGGGACACGUGAAACCCCGUGGGAAGAUGGGGGGACCAUCCUCCAAGCCUAAAUACUACCUAAUGACCGAUAGCGAAUAGUACUGUGAAGGAACGGUGAAAAGAACCCCGGGAGGGGAGUGAAAAAGAACCUGAAACCCUAUGCUUACAAGCACCGAGAGCACGUCAAAGUGUGAUCGGGUACCUUUUGUAGAAUGGUCCGGCGAGUUAUUGUAUGCGGCAAGGUUAAGUGCUUAAGGCACGGAGCCGAAGCGAGAGCAAGUCUGAAUAGGGCGAAAGAGUCGUAUGCAAUAGACCCGAAACCGAGUGACCUAUCCAUGUCCAGGCUGAAGUGGAGGUAAAACUCCAUGGAGGGCCGAACACACGUCCGUUGAAAAGGCCGGUGAUGAGGUGUGGAUAGCGGAGAAAUUCCAAUCGAACUCGGAUAUAGCUGGUUCUCUCCGAAAUAGCUUUAGGGCUAGCCUCGUGAAAGAUUACUGGAGGUAAAGCACUGAAUGGGCUAGGGGUCGAAAGAUUACUGAACCCUAUCAAACUAAGAAUGCCAGAUAAUUGAUUCACGGGAGUCAGACAAUGUGAGAUAAGUCUCAUUGUCAAAAGGGAAACAGCCCAGACCCACAGCUAAGGUCCCUAAACAUUGUUAAGUGGAAAAGGAUGUGGGGUUGCAUAAACAACCAGGAUGUUGGCUUAGAAGCAGCCACUCAUUAAAAGAGUGCGUAAUAGCUCACUGGUCGAGUGACCCUGCGCCGAAAAUUCAACGGGGCUAAACAAUGUACCGAAGCUUGGGAUUCUAAAGUAAUUUAGAGUGGUAGGAGAGCGUCGAAUAAGGGGUGAAGUCAGAGCGGAAGCGCUGGUGGACUUUAUUCGAGUGAGAAUGCCGGAAUGAGUAGCGAGAAUUAUGUGAGAAUCAUAAUGGCCGAAAAUCUAAGGUUUCCUGAGGAAGGUUCGUCCGCUCAGGGUAAGCCGGGGGCUAAGGCGAGGCGAAGACGCAUAGCCGAUGCACAUACGGUUGAAAUUCCGUAGCCACCGAAAGAUUUAAGUACAGGGACGCUUUAGAAGUGAUGUUGCCGGGCGAUGGUUGACCCGGUCGUAAGGGAUCGAAAAUGAGUAGAGAAGUCAUCAUGGAAAGAGACAAGAAAAGCUGUAUGAAUAUCUUAGGUGCCCGUACCGCAAACCGACACAGGUAGAUAGGAAGAAGAUUCUAAGGCCAACGGGAGAAGGGUUGUUAAGGAACUCGGCAAGUUGACCCCGUAACUUAGGGAUAAGGGGUGCUCAAGUGAUUGAGCCGCAGAGAAUAGGCCCAGGCGACUGUUUAGCAAAAACACAGGUCUCUGCUAAAUCGAAAGAUGACGUAUAGGGGCUGACACCUGCCCGGUGCCGGAAGGUUAAGAGGAGAUGUGAGAGCAUUGAAUUGAAGCCCCGGUAAACGGCGGCCGUAACUAUAACGGUCCUAAGGUAGCGAAAUUCCUUGUCAGGUAAGUUCUGACCCGCACGAAAGGUGUAACGAUCUGGGCACUGUCUCAACAACCCGCCCGGCGAAAUUGUAGUACCGGUGAAGAUGCCGGUUACCCGCGACUAGACGGAAAGACCC
rnacentral:rRNA from 1 species